GCAUGACUCACUUCUGUCCCGUUCUUGACAGCGCCAUUCGCGAACGAUUUCCCAAGUUACUACGCCUGGAUGGCCAUGAGCUACCCCCACCAAUUGCCUUUGAUGUUGAAGCCCCCACGACGUUACCGCCCUGCAAGGUAGGAAGCAUGGACAGAGUAAGAACUUGUGUGUGGAGAGAAUACUGCUUCCAUGUUCCUAAUACCUGUUUGAUUUCAGGGAAGCUAUUUUGGAACAGAAAACUUGAAGAGUCUGGUCUUGCACUUCCUGCAACAGUACUAUGCAAUUUACGACUCUGGAGACCGGCAAGGGCUCCUGGAUGCCUACCAUGAUGGGGCCUGCUGUUCCCUGAGCAUUCCUUUCAUUCCUCAGAACCCUGCCCGCAGCUUAGCCGAGUAUUUCAAGGAUAGCAGAAAUGUGAAGAAGCUUAAAGACCCUACCUUGCGGUUCCGGCUGCUGAAGCACACGCGUC
rnacentral:sRNA from 1 species